AAUCGUCUUUCGUAUUCGAGUCAAGAUAGAGUAUACAUCGUAUAAAAAUUUACUGAACGUUAUAAUUUGUUAAUUUACCAAGCAUUACUUGGUAAUGAGUACUAGGUGGAGAAUUAAAUUUGAUUAGAAACUUGAUCUGCAAAAUUUCUGUAAAAAGAGAUUUAGCGAAAGAUGGAUGGGAUUAUUGAGGAAAAUAUUAGCGUCCGCCACGUGUUAAUUAUGUGAGAGUAUCCGGUGUGUUCAUAUGGCUGUAUAUGGUAGUGAAAUACAGAAUAUAAAAACUGAAUUUGUGUGAAUCAAUUAAGUAUCGAACUCCAAAACCUAUUUAAUAACAGGGGUAAUACAGUAACCGAAAAGGAAAUUAUUCUACAUGCAAAAGCUACUGUAUCGUUUAUUUCUUUUUAAUGUUUUUAAUGUAGAAAUAUAUGAGGUCUUGCAAAUCAAAUAAUUUGAUGUAGGAUAUUCUUAAUUUUCAUAAAAUAGUACUGAACUGCUAUGACUGCGUGGAAACAAAGAAG